AUUUUAGGCAAUAAUUUUCUUGAUGUCUAGUGGAAACUUCCUUACUGCAACAACUAAAUGUCAGGAAGAAGAAUCUGAUGAUUCAUCUGGCUUUAAAAAAAAAAAAGCCCAAAGGAUGUCAUUUGUACCUCUGAACCACAAAAGAACAAGAAGACAGAGGACGGAUUACAAGUGAAGCACUCAUUUCUUCUCUUGAGUGCUCAGGACUGCGGCUGCUUACAUAAGUGGGUCUUCCUGUACAUAACUGGAGCAUUUGUGUUGAAGGUUAGAUGAAUCCAUGAAUCUCCAGAAGUGAAAGUCAAGAGCACUUAAGGAAAUUUAGAAAGAUCUUUUUGACCUCUUCAAAAGAGUUGGAAGCUACUCUGAGAUUUUGCUCACUACUUGAACAAUCUUUCAAGGUGCUCUCACAACUUUGGCAAUUCAUUCUCAGCCCUCACAGACAGUACAGCACUGAAGCAGAUUACAUUACUGUGCCAUAGCCUACUUCUCACCAUGGUUUUAUGAAGGAAUCAGCACCGACUAGAUUGGACAGAUUGAUUUGUCAGCCAGAAUCUGAAGAAAGAUAAUAAUUCCCAUUGGGUAAGGAAUCUCUCGAAGACAGCUGAAGAUUAUCACCUUCCAUACUCUUCAAAUGUGACCAUUGUUGACCUCUCUGUGACAUUAGCAUAUGAGUUUUCUAGUGUUUUCUAAGAGUUUUCUACCAUAAAGAGCCAUAUGAGAAGACAACAAUAUAUUCUCGGUAAAAAAAUAAAACGAAAAACUAUUGAAAGGCAGAAAGACAAGUUUACUCCUAGUUGAUAUAUCAGUUAAAUAAAUAUAUUCUUCAG
rnacentral:lncRNA from 7 species